rnacentral:lncRNA from 1 species
AUGCUGGAAGUUGGUGGCUCGCAGUGCCUGGAGCUGGGAGGUUCAUCAAAUAUUUUGUUAAAGGACGGCAGGCUGUCCUCAGCAUGGUCCGGAAGGCCAAGUACCGGGAGCUACUCCUUUCAGAGCUCCUGGGCCGGCGGGCACCUGCCUCGGUGCGACUCGGCCUCGCCUACCACGUACAUGACCUCAUUGGGGCCCAGCUGGUGGACUGUGUCUCCACCACUUCUGGAACCCUCCUCCGCCUGCCAGAGACCUGAGGACUCUGUUCAUCAUUGCACACCUCCCCAGGGUGGGGAUUGAGGGGCCCAGGAGGGCUGCCCGCCCUGGCUCAGGCAGGGUCACCUUGGGAAGGCUCGGGAGCCAGGAUGAGUGCUGGGCUUGCUGCUGUGCCGAGGGUCAGAUGUGACUGCCGCUGUUGACCUGGGCUGCGUCCCAGUGGAGGGGUUUGGGCUGUGCUUCUCUGCCCUUUCACGAAAGUGGAGCCAGAAACCUUGCCAAGGCCAUGGCUGCUGUCUUUCAUGCAGCAAGGUGCUGCCACUAUUCUGUCUGGGGUGGGAAGGAGGGGUCACUGGGUAAGCUGUCAAAGUUGGACAGAGUUUUUCUUCCUAUAUGUUGGGCUGAAACUGGCAAAUAAAGUACUUCUGAUGUUUUGUGGAUGUCUUUUG